rnacentral:rRNA from 1 species
GACGAACGCUGGCGGCGUGCUUAACACAUGCAAGUCGAACGGUAAGGCCCUUCGGGGUACACGAGUGGCGAACGGGCGAGUAACACGUGGGUGAUCUGCCCUGCACUUCGGGAUAAGCCUGGGAAACUGGGUCUAAUACGGGAAAGGACACCUGACUGCAUGGUCUGGGGUGGAAAGAUUUUGCGGUGUGGGCUGGGCCAGCGGCCUAUCAGCGUGUUGGUGGGGUGAUGGCCUACGAAGGCGACGACGGGUAGCCGGCCUGAGAGGGUGACCGGCCACACUGGGACUGAGAUACGGCCCAGACUCCUACGGGAGGCAGCAGUGGGGAAUAUUGCACAAUGGUCGCAAGCCUGAUGCAGCGACGCCGCGUGAGGGAUGACGGCCUUCGGGUUGUAAACCUCUUUCAGCAUCGACGAAGCGAAAGUGACGGUAGGUGCAGAAGAAGGACCGGCCAACUACGUGCCAGCCGCCGCGGUAA